CUCUGCCAGGUUGGAAUUUACACCAAGACAACUGUUGUAGGUUAAGGUGUGGCAACUUAACGGGCUGGAGCCUGGGCCAUUUAAUUUUUGUUUUAUCAUUUAUAUUGUUCAAGUUGCAUCGUGAUUAUCCUGAUACAAAACACCAACAGAAGUACAAAAUCACUCACUGUUCUUUAGGGAUCUUUCCCAUUGCAGAGGUCGUGCCAAUAUGUGAAGUGGCCACCGCUUGGCACACCCUGUGGAGACAAGGUUCAGAGUAUGCCAGGCUGACGGACCAGCAGAGGUGGUGGUCCAGCAUUUCAUUGUGCUGUCUCACUUCUGCAGACACACAGAAUGGUCAACUCACUUGUUUGGGCCCAGGAUGGUGGGAAAGGAGCAGCCAGCAAAGGAGAAGGGUGUGGAUACUCUACAAGCAAACCAAUAUUUUGGUUUGUGAAGAGGGUAACAAAGCUUCUGAUUGUUUAAAUGCUACCUGAGUGAUCUCGAAGAGAUUUUCACAGAGAAAUGAAGGCAUUAUGCUCUCUUACAGGUAGGAAAAUCCAAGUACAGCAAACUGAAAGGACCAGGACAUACUUGGCCAGUAGGCUACUGGUAGAGCUGGGGACAGCACCAGUUUCCAGCUCUAAUGUACCAUUGAAGUCAGCUACCUUUCUGGUGAAAAAUAAAACAAAACAAAACAAAACAAAACAAAAACACUACAUGCAUAACUAGAUUAAUUGGAUUAGACUUGGAUUAAUUAAGCACAAUAUCAUUCUUGAUCCCAGCAGAGCACUGACUCAUCAGAGUCUGAACACUGUGGUUGAACGGCUGGGAAUGUCACCUGAUUCUUCAUUCAUUUGCAUAAACAGGACUCGGUAACAUCAGGCUGUGGGCACUGAAGACAUUCAGCAUCCCACAGAACUGAGAACUAAGCCAUCACACUGAGAUCUAAAUAAUUUGAUGGGGAAAAAUAUUGCUCUGUCUCCUUUUGGAGGCUGUCUUCAAGGGCACAGCACUCAGUUUAUACAUAGAGUGAAACUCAUUCUUAGAAGAAUGGAAAAAUCACCUAUCAACCAGACCCCUACACAGGUUUACACCUCCAAAGUGUGGCUGUACCACUCAGAUUUCCAUAACUGCUGCUUCAGACUGAUAGGUACAACAUUAUCUGUUCUCUUCUUUUUCGGUAUGUUUCCUGGUUGUGAAAAAAAAACACAUUAUUCUCUAAAUAACCAAAUACAUCCUCUAACUUUCAAGAAUAUCAGAAAGUCUGUGAGGAUCAAGAUGAAUCACUUGACACAUGCAUAUUUCAGUGAGCAUGUGGGUAGAUGCCAAAAUGUUUUACCCUUACUGCUAUUAACUUUCAGGCUACACUCCUGUAUCAAAUUUAUGUCAUUGAUUCCACAGAACCUGCACUAACAACAUCUGUCAGGUGAUGACUAAAGAAUUAGCCUGAGAUUUGGAAGAUUUAGAUUCAGCUCCGUGUUAGGAUGUAGGUUUCCUGUGUGGUCUGGUGCAUGCUCCUAAGGUCAUUCAAACAGGAUGCAGAAAAUCUAUGUUCUCUCCCUUGUACUAUGGGAUUUGUUUCCAGUUCUUUCUGAACAGUUGUCCAGUAAUCAGGGAAUAAUGUUUGGGGUUGGUAACAAUCUUUUGACCCAUUUUUGCUGCUGAAUCACUUCCAUACUGCAAGGAGGGAUUAAAAAAUCCAAUAACAGCCGUACUUGUUCAGCCCCCAUAGCCUACUGCUUUGACUCCCACAAUAAACAAAAGUGUGCACCUAUGGAAGAGUACUAA
rnacentral:lncRNA from 1 species